GCAAACUUGGUCAUUUAGAGGAAGUAAAAGUCGUAACAAGGUCUCCGUUGGUGAACCAGGGGAGGGAUCAUUAAAGAGUUCUAUAACUCCUAAACCCAUGUGAACAUACCUUACGUUGCCUCGGCAGGUCGCAACUACCCUGUAGUGUCCUACCCUGUAGGUGCGGGUAAGCCUGCCGACGGCCCAUGAAACUCUGUUUAGCAUUGAAUUCUGAACAUUCAAUUAGAUAAGUUAAAACUUUCAACAACGGAUCUCUUGGUUCUGGCAUCGAUGAAGAACGCAGC
rnacentral:misc_RNA from 1 species